UACGUAGGGUGCGAGCGUUGUCCGGAAUUACUGGGCGUAAAGGGCUCGUAGGCGGCCAACUAAGUCGGACGUGAAAUCCCCAGGCUCAACCUGGGAACUGCGUCCGAUACUGGAUGGCUUGAAUCCGGGAGAGGGAUGCAGAAUUCCAGGUGUAGCGGUGAAAUGCGUAGAUAUCUGGAGGAAUACCGGUGGCGAAGGCGGCAUCCUGGACCGGCAUUGACGCUGAGGGGCGAAAGCCAGGGGAGCAAACGGG
rnacentral:rRNA from 1 species